rnacentral:lncRNA from 1 species
UCCUACCUACAAGCUCCCAAAGUCUAGAACUUAAAAGGUUUGAUCGUGUUCCAGAAAGUAUCAAACUUCCAAAGUCUCUACUUCUCUAAAGCACUAUUUUAAGUAUGGGUUUGUUGAAAUUCAAGCACUCCCUUCAUUCACGAACAAUUCCACACACAUAGGGUUCAAAGUUCAAACUAGCUAACAAACUGCAAGGUACAUAAAGCAGCCAAUAAACACACUAAAAGUUCUCCCAGGUCAGACACAAUACAUGUAAAAUAACAUUAUUAAAACUGAAAAUAAGAUUAAGGACUACAGUACUAACUAACAAACUCCCAUGAUUGUGGCUUAUACAGGUAACAGCUUCAAUAAUGCUCCAAAGGCUUCCACGGACCAGCCCCAAAGACUUCCAUCUUUUUGUCCAUGGUUAGAUCACCAUAACCAUUAAAAAACGGGACACAAAUAUCAGAAGUUCAGAACCUCAUAUGCGCUUGAUGGUUUAUGUUUUCAAAUCAUUUGAAAAUGAAGAAUUAAAACAAUGGCUUAUGCUUUCAAAUCAUUCAAAAAAAGUGAGUUUAUGUUGCAAGUUUCAUUCAAGGUCUUCACUGUGUUUAGCAAGUUUAAAAACACUUAAGCAUAUACAAAUCUGAACAAAUUUAAAAAUAAACUCAACAAAAGCUAAGUUCUCUCAAACAUUUAUAUGAACACCUAUGCUAUAAAAUAAACUCAAAUAAAUUCUACCUAAUUCAACCUCAACUUAUGGGCAGCAAGGGAAGCCAGCAUAAACAAACUUAUGACUGCGACACGACUCAUCUAACACACCCUAACUACUUCCUGGUAAAAUCCAGUGGUAGAGUUGGUUAAAAAUGCAAAAGAAUCAUUAAGAAUAAUUUGCCAAGGGGGAGGAGAAAACAAAGAUCCUGUGGAUGUUCUCACUUCUCAAUGCACAUGUUUCAUCAAAACAAUGUGAAGCCUACCAAAGUACCAAUAAGCAGGCGGAGAUGAAGCCUGAAAACACUUUCAUCAAAUCUUAUACACACAUAUAUACACCAAUCUUAUGCAGUUCUUACUUCUUAGGGUACCUUUCUACAAUUUCAUUGCCAAAAUAAAAUUUGGUUCAGUAAACCAGUAAAUACAAAGUAGUAAAGAAAAGAUUUUGCCCAAUGAUACUAUGCCAAAUUUUAAUCAUAUUGAAAAUGUAGUGCUUGGCAAGGAAUACAACCAUAAAACUUAUCCAAGAAAAACAGGUGCAAGAGGAGCUUUCCAAGAGAGCAAAAGAAGAUAGGAAGUAAAAUAUCAGCCAUAAAAGUGAGAGUGGAACUUGGAACCUAAUUGACUCAAGCUAAUGAAAUCCAAAUAGGUGACAAUUAAUUGGCAAGUUAUUAUUAAGACUAAAAGGCAGACACAUACAUAUCUUUCGUGUCCGAAACAAAACUAAAACUGUCACUAACAUUUAUGUACACAUUUCCAUUAACUAAAACACUUCCUGUUUCUUUUUUUGGGUUUAAUAUACAUGUGAAUUGUGAUAUGAUUCUUAAUUUGAUUCUUUCCAAAUCCUCAUUCACUGUUUUGAGAGAUUACCUCUGCAACCCUAAAGAUAGAAAGGGCAUGCAGUUCUCUCAACAGCUUUCUGAUCUGCUAUUUUUAAUUUCAUUUCAGCAUUUUGUAUCCUUUAAAAGACUGACUAGCAUGCAUCUACCCAGUAAACCCCACCUGAACCUCAACCACAACCUUUCCUGCAAUCUCCACAGACUAUCUAUCCUACCUUAAAAGGUUUGAUCAUGUUCCAGAAAGUAUCAAACUUCCAAAGUCUCUACUUCUCUAAAGCACUACUUUAAGUAUGGGUUUGUUGAAAUUCAAGCACUCCCUUCAUUCACGAACAAUUCCACACACAUAGGGUUCAAACUAACAAACUGAAAGGUGCAUAAAGCAGCCAAUAAACACACUAAAGUUCUCCCAGGUCAGACACAAUACAUGUAAAAUAACAUUAAAACUGAAAAUAAGAUUAAGGACUACAGUACUAACUAACAAACUCCCAUGAUUGUGGCUUAUACAGGUAACAGCUUCAAUAAUGCUCCAAAGGCUUCCACGGACCAGCCCCAAAGACUUCCAUCUUUUCGUCCAUGGUUAGAUCACCAAAACCAUUGGUGCCUAAGCUUCGAUAUAGUGGGUCAGCAUGCUUCUGGUUUUCGCGGACGCACAAUUCAUGA